AGUAAUGCUUGGGAAUCUGGCUUAUGGAGGGGGAUAACUACGGGAAACUGUAGCUAAUACCGCGUAGUGUCGAGAGACGAAAGUGCGGGACCGAGAGGCCGCAUGCCAUGAGAUGAGCCCAAGUGGGAUUAGGUAGUUGGUGGGGUAAAGGCCUACCAAGCCUGCGAUCUCUAGCUGGUCUGAGAGGAUGGCCAGCCACACUGGAACUGAGACACGGUCCAG
rnacentral:rRNA from 1 species